ACGCUGGCGGCAGGCCUAACACAUGCAAGUCGAGCGGAUGAAGAGAGCUUGCUCUCUGAUUCAGCGGCGGACGGGUGAGUAAUGCCUAGGAAUCUGCCUAUUAGUGGGGGACAACGUUUCGAAAGGAACGCUAAUACCGCAUACGUCCUACGGGAGAAAGCAGGGGACCUUCGGGCCUUGCGCUAAUAGAUGAGCCUAGGUCGGAUUAGCUAGUUGGUGAGGUAAUGGCUCACCAAGGCGACGAUCCGUAACUGGUCUGAGAGGAUGAUCAGUCACACUGGAACUGAGACACGGUCCAGACUCCUACGGGAGGCAGCAGUGGGGAAUAUUGGACAAUGGGCGAAAGCCUGAUCCAGCCAUGCCGCGUGUGUGAAGAAGGUCUUCGGAUUGUAAAGCACUUUAAGUUGGGAGGAAGGGCAUUAACCUAAUACGUUAGUGUUUUGACGUUACCGACAGAAUAAGCACCGGCUAACUCUGUGCCGGCAGCCGCGGUAAUACAGAGGGUGCAAGCGUUAAUCGGAAUUACUGGGCGUAAAGCGCGCGUAGGUGGUUUGUUAAGUUGAAUGUGAAAUCCCCGGGCUCAACCUGGGAACUGCAUCCAAAACUGGCAAGCUAGAGUAGGGCAGAGGGUGGUGGAAUUUCCUGUGUAGCGGUGAAAUGCGUAGAUAUAGGAAGGAACACCAGUGGCGAAGGCGACCACCUGGGCUCAUACUGACACUGAGGUGCGAAAGCGUGGGGAGCAAAC
rnacentral:rRNA from 1 species